GGAUCUAGUGGCGCACGGGUGCGUAACGCGUGGGAAUCUACCCUUGGGUUCGGAAUAACAGUUGGAAAUGACUGCUAAUACCGGAUGAUGACGUAAGUCCAAAGAUUUAUCGCCCAGGGAUGAGCCCGCGUAGGAUUAGCUAGUUGGUGAGGUAAAGGCUCACCAAGGCUACGAUCCUUAGCUGGUCUGAGAGGAUGAUCAGCCACACUGGGACUGAGACACGGCCCAGACUCCUACGGGAGGCAGCAGUAGGGAAUAUUGGACAAUGGGCGAAAGCCUGAUCCAGCAAUGCCGCGUGAGCGAUGAAGGCCUUAGGGUUGUAAAGCUCUUUUACCCGGGAUGAUAAUGACAGUACCGGGAGAAUAAGCCCCGGCUAACUCCGUGCCAGCAGCCGCGGUAAUACGGAGGGGGCUAGCGUUGUUCGGAAUUACUGGGCGUAAAGCGCACGUAGGCGGCUAUUCAAGUCAGAGGUGAAAGCCCGGGGCUCAACCCCGGAACUGCCUUUGAAACUAGAUAGCUUGAAUCACGGAGAGGUGGGUGGAAUUCCGAGUGUAGAGGUGAAAUUCGUAGAUAUUCGGAAGAACACCAGUGGCGAAGGCGGCCCACUGGACGUGUAUUGACGCUGAGGUGCGAAAGCGUGGGGAGC
rnacentral:rRNA from 1 species